UACGUAGGUGGCGAGCGUUGUCCGGAAUUAUUGGGCGUAAAGCGCGCGCAGGCGGUUUCUUAAGUCUGAUGUGAAAGCCCACGGCUCAACCGUGGAGGGUCAUUGGAAACUGGGAAACUUGAGUGCAGAAGAGGAAAGUGGAAUUCCAUGUGUAGCGGUGAAAUGCGUAGAGAUGUGGAGGAACACCAGUGGCGAGGGCGACUUUCUGGUCUGUAACUGACGCUGAGGCGCGAAAGCGUGGGGAGCAACAGG
rnacentral:misc_RNA from 1 species